UUAAAUCCCAUCAAUGUUAUCUCGCUCACAAGUAAAGAUGGAUUGACUGACACGUCGGCGUUGCAGCUUUGCUUUUGCAACGUUAAAAUAAUACAACAUACAAGGAGAACGAUAUGUUACCCCCAAAACGACAUAUAUACCUGCAAGAUCGUUACGAAGUUAACCUGCAUAACCGCGAAAAGAGAGAAAGACGAAACGAAAAGGUCAAGAACGAAGAUGGAGCCAUAGCAUACCCAGACUAGGAUUUAUUCUUAGUCGAUGUAAAUACUAACUUAUGUGAGCUGUAGCAUAAAAA